AUUGAACGCUGGCGGCAGGCCUAACACAUGCAAGUCGAGCGAGUGGCGGACGGGUGAGUAAUGCCUAGGAAUCUGCCUGGUAGUGGGGGAUAACGUCCGGAAACGGGCGCUAAUACCGCAUACCAUCAGAUGUGCCCAGAUGGGAUUAGCUUGGUGGUGGGGUAACGGCUCACAAAGGCGACGAUCCCUAGCUGGUCUGAGAGGAUGAACAGCCACACUGGACCUGAGACACGGGCCAGACUCCUAUGGGAGGCAGCAUUGGGGAAUAUGGCACAAUGGGCGCAAGCCUGAUGCAUCCAUGCCGCGUGGAUGAAGAAGGCCUUCGGGUUGUAAAGUACUUGCAGCGGGGAGGCGUUACCCGCAGAAGAAGCACCGGCUAACUCCGUGCCAGCAGCCGCGGUAAUUC
rnacentral:rRNA from 1 species